CCUACGGGAGGCAGCAGUGAGGAAUAUUGGUCAAUGGGCGUAAGCCUGAACCAGCCAAGUCGCGUGAGGGAUGAAGGUUCUAUGGAUCGUAAACCUCUUUUAUAAGGGAAUAAAGUGUGGGACGUGUCCUGUUUUGUAUGUACCUUAUGAAUAAGGAUCGGCUAACUCCGUGCCAGCAGCCGCGGUAAUACGGAGGAUCCGCGCGUUAUCCGGAUUUAUUGGGUUUAAAGGGUGCGUAGGCGGCCUUUUAAGUCAGCGGUGAAAGUCUGUGGCUCAACCAUAGAAUUGCCGUUGAAACUGGGAGGCUUGAGGAUGUUUGAGGCAGGCGGAAUGCGUGGUGUAGCGGUGAAAUGCAUAGAUAUCACGCAGAACCCCGAUUGCGAAGGCAGCCUGCCAAGCCAUGACUGACGCUGAUGCACGAAAGCGUGGGGAUCAAACAGGAUUAGAUACCCCAGUAGUC
rnacentral:rRNA from 1 species